rnacentral:rRNA from 1 species
UACGUAGGGGGCAAGCGUUGUCCGGAAUCAUUGGGCGUAAAGAGCGUGUAGGCGGUCCGGUAAGUCGGCUGUGAAAGUCGGGGGCUCAACCCUCGAAUGCCGGUGGAUACUGUCGGGCUAGAGUGCGGAAGAGGCGAGUGGAAUUCCUGGUGUAGCGGUGGAAUGCGCAGAUAUCAGGAAGAACACCAACGGCGAAGGCAGCUCGCUAGGACGGUACUGACGCUGAGACGCGAAAGCGUGGGGAGCGAACAGG